CACUAAGAAGCUAAACAGGACUAUAGCGUCAGCCUUUUAAGCUGAAGAUUGGUGCCCUCCAACCACCCUUAGUGA
rnacentral:tRNA from 1 species